GGCAAGUGUGGUCAGAGCCUUCUGGGUUCUGCACGUGGACAGAAAACUAUGAAGGGUGGGGAAAGGAGAGAGCCACAUGUCAUCACUCCAGUGCCGCCUUCCCUUCUCCCGCUCCGAGGCCAGACAGCGGGGAGGAUGACCAGGAAGAGUCAGGAUUGCAAGUGAGCAGCCCCAGCCCCAGAUAUUGCUGUAACUCUGUCCGGCCUCGGAGUCGCUGAGGCUUGCCUGAGGAGCUAAAGCUGGCCAGAGGAGCCACUGCUAACAGACUACAAAGUGAUGGUCCCGGUCAGGGAGAUGGGAAAAGACCUUGGUUCUUGGAAGAGAAAGGCCAGGAAAUACAGGAAGGUGAUGUGGGAAGAGAGAAGAAUAGGGUCAAGCGGUAGCCUAGAGACAAUAAGAUGGUACUGAUCUGGAUUGCCAACAUUUCAAAUGGAAUUCGCCCAUUUAUGAAAUGGAAAAUUGGUGGAGAAGGGAAGGGAUAUUUCUCUAACACUUAUUGCAUCCCAUGGGCUUUGUACGUUAUCACGAUUAACAUGCCCAACGAUACUACACAAGGUGUUCUUGCUGUUUUGUGGAUGGAAAAAAGGCGGACAGCCAGAGUUAGAAAUGGGUGGCGUCCUCCUCUGGCCCUUGCAAUCUUAACCAAGAAUUAUAAUUUUUGAAAAUAGUAUUGAUGGUUAGGGGAGUGGACAAAGCAGUUGUUCUCAUUUUAGAGAUGGGAAUGAGAUGUCAAAGUGUGAACUGAUGUGUGCAAGUACAAGCUGGUGAGGGGCAAGGCCAAGACCGGCACUGUUUUAGCUGCAUGUGGAGCACCUUUCAGGGACUUCAGGCCACUUUCCGUGACCUCACUGUAAGGGACGAGCUUUCUAAGAUCAUUUUGAUGCUGUAUCUGUACAUUAUCAUUUGUAGGGGAAGAACACUCACAAAGUUAAACGGGAUCCGUGGUUGAGGAUGCAUAUGCGCCAUCGAGUCUGUAGGCCGUGAAUCACAGGAGUAAUGCUGUGACGCCUGUCACUUUCCUGCUGACUCUCUGAGAAGGGAGACCAAGAAAAACCGGGGCAAUGCAAAGUGUUUUGGAAUUCUCAGCAGACUAGAAUCAACAUGAGCAGAAACUAAGGGUAAAAGGGAGAUAAAAAAUUCUGUGGCUUUUCUUUUGCCUUCUUGUAGAAUUGUCUUUAAUGAAUUUUGAUUUAUAGUUUUUCAUGGGAAAAAUGCGCAAAGAUCAACUGAAUAUUUAAUCUCUGUUUGUGUGUGUGGGGAGGGUCGGUAAGGGUGGGACUGGGAAUUGUUUUUGCUGGCAGAGAAGGUCAGGAAUAUAAACAAUUACAAAGGCAGAGGAAGCACAUGUACUGUUUCCAGUGAUAGGGUAUGGGUUUAAACUGGAGUCACUGAGCUGGCUUACUCUCACAUCUUUUCUUUUCCAAAUCUAGGAAAUACGUUGUUUGGGGUUGCAGUUAAAUGAAGACAGGCCGUUUCAUGGUGCCUAGUUCUUAUUCUUCAUACUGUGUUCUCUUCCCAUUGCAUGGGCACUUGUGAACUACCAAAAGGUUUAUCACAGACCUGAAAGUGUUUCUGAAGAUGUCUUCUGGAAUUGGCAGCUAUCUCUGUGGCCCAGCUUGUGUUGACUGCUUUUACAGAGUUCUUAGGUUAAAUCCUCCCCAUUCUUAUGAAACAUUUGGAAUAUCAACUUCCCAGUCUGGAGGGGAAAACAUUCCAUUUGGUGCUGGUUUAAUGAGUAUUACUAUGUCUUCAGAUGGUUUGUUAUAGCUUCAUGAUUUUGGGCAAAACGAAUGUGACUCUGAACUUUCCUGUUGUGCCUGGGAGAUCUCAUGCUUUGAUGACAUCUGCUCCUUGGGAAACAUUCCUGUCAAUUCACAAAUGAUUUAUUUAAAGAACAAGAGUAACUGUAGCUCUAUUUUGAAAAGUUAUUAUUUCUCUAUUUAGGGCCGGCCCGGUGGCAUAGUGGUUAAAUUCGUGCGCUCUGCUUCAGCGGCGUGGGGUUUGCGGGUUCGGAUUUGGGUGCAGACCUUUGCACCGCUCAUUGAGCCGCGCUGUGCCGGUGUGCCAUAUACAAAAUGGAGGAAGAUUGGCACAGAUGGUAGCUCAGGGACCAUCUUCCUCACGCAAAAAGAAGAAGAUUGGUAAGAGAUGUUAGCUCAGGGCCGAUCUUCCUCAGCCAAAAAUAAAAUAAAUAAGAUUAACCAUACCUCCAUUUGGAAAAGUUGUUAUUCUUUCUGUAAAUAGCUGGAGCCGCAUGGAGCACACAAGUUAAGUGGUAAGUAUUUCAACACUCAAUAACGUGUUCCCUGAAAGGAAAACGAAAUAUUCACAUUUGUGAAAUAAGUAAUAAUAACAAUAACAGUAUUGAUUGACCAUGGACAAAACUUAUCCCAUUCCUUCCUACCUCAAAACUUGGUGAAAAAGUACUCCCUCGUUCUAAGAAACGUUGGCCCAAAUCCCUUUUUAUUUUUACAUCUUCCUCACGCCUUCAAUCUAAUGUUCUAAGUUUUCAAUCAUUUGUUUUCUUCCUUACUUUUGUCCUUGUUGAUGAUUCCUGACUAGAUCAUGAGAACCUUGAAGAAAGGAAUUUGUCUUUUCUGACUUUUUAUCCCUUCAGAAAGACCCCGUUGAGAGAUGGCAGCAUCCACAUCCAGGUUACUUCACCUUAACUUGAAGUACCUAAAUAAUAAUUAGAAAGAAGGUACAGAAAAAGCAAAAUUGGCUAUAAACAAGAAAUACACCGAUAAGCAACUGCAACACCUUUGAGAUUAUUUUGAAAUUUCAGUAAUCAUAAUGAGAUAUACUUCAGUUAUUAGACAAAUAAAUAUGACAUUAAAAAGUGAAGUGCUUCAAAUCACUGGAAUAUAUAAGGAAUAUACUGUUCGUACUGAGAUUUUAAAUAAAUUUGGUGACUUUUAAUCUUUGUUAAUAUUUGAUCAUUUGUCUCCAUGUCAAUUCACAAUAUUUAAUAAUUUCUAACGGUCACGAACCAGGACAUCUUUAACCAGCUUGCGAAUCUUUCACUGGUAAAUUUAGACAGUUUGUUCAUUCUUUUACAAAGCUCAACCAACUACAGAUGUUACCCUCCCAUAGAAGUGUGCACAAGAAAUUGAGAUUUAGUGACCAAAGGCUCCGAGAAGAGUCUCUGCCUGUCUGACCGUGAACCUGUCAUCCCUUUAAAGAUGUGACAUCUUCUGCUCCAGAGAUUAGGAAUGCCGUACUUCACGUCCCUGUUUCUUCUAGGGGGCAUUUAACAGAAUAACUUCAACAUUUUGUUUUGAAAGCUGGUGGUUAAUAAUGUGUUCUGUGAGUGAGUUUUACUAGCAAAUCACAGGAGAAACGGAAACACUUUGCUGUGUUUUUCUAAUUAACUCGAAUGAAGCAUUGUGAAAUGGGACUGUUACUGCUAACGGCAAAGUCAAUUGCAUAAGCAAGAGAGUCUCGAUUACUGAGUAUCUGAAAAGAAACAUAGGGCAGGACUCUUGCUUUCAUGGAAAAUAAAAUGGGAUAGGAGGAGAAGCCGACAGUAAGCUGCUAUCAGAUAAACGGCCACUGCGUCUCAACACGGAGUUCGGAAAAUGUGUGCAGGGGCUGCCUCUCAGCACAGACCCCGCAGUCGGGUGGUGGUGGCAGGUCUGAAGCUGACUGGUGGCCCCUGAGUCACAGGUCUGUUGGAGCUGUGACUCACAGUUGGGGGACUCUUCCAGACACAGAGGGGUUCAGGUGCUCAGUGGCUGAAACGAAUGACAACUGUCAGCUGCAUGUCACAGAGAAGCCAGUGAUUUUCUCCCCUCAUAAGCAGCUCAGAGGGAGGCAGUUCUAGAUCGGGGCAGUGUCAAGACUGU